rnacentral:rRNA from 1 species
ACAUAAAAUGACUCUCGGCAACGGAUAUCUCGGCUCUUGCAUCGAUGAAGAACGUAGCGAAAUGCGAUACUUGGUGUGAAUUGCAGAAUCCCGUGAACCAUCGAGUCUUUGAACGCAAGUUGCGCCCGAAGCCAUUAGGCCGAGGGCACGCCUGCCUGGGUGUCACAC